AAUGCCUAUAAUACCCCUAAAUUCUUCUUCAAAAAAAUUCAAUUUCUCGUAAGAACAGUGCACUGAUAGAAUUACCCUUAUAAUGACUCACCUCCUUUAUCCCAGCUUGCCUGCAGCCCUGCACAAUCAAUUCACAACUUCACGAUCCAUCAUAAUUCUCACCUCCUCCCAGUUUUCUCUCUCCUAAUUCGUCAUCCAAUUCCUAAACCCUAAGUUUUUCCUCCCCAAUUGACCGCAGAUUCACUUCCAAUCUCAACAAAUUGAUCAUCAACUUCGUGCUAUUUGUCCCUUAAUUCACAAUAUAAUUUGUCAAUGCAAUGGUGGUAUGCAAAUGCCGCAAGUUAAGUCAUCUUUUUUGCUCCUUUUUCUAUUCAGAUUCGUCAAAAAUCCCCAAUUUUGUAACUUUUUAUUUGAUCGCAUGCUUAAUUUAGCUCUUAAUUAUAAGGAUAAGCUGUACAGUUUGAUGAUCUUGUUGUUUCGGAUCUGAUUUAGGGAUAAUUGAAUUAAUACGCAUAUUGGGUUUAGUUUUUGUCAAAUUUUGUUAAUUUAAGGGUUUUAGACAAAAAAUAGUACUUUGUUAGGGGUUAAUAUCGAUUUUGUAGAUGUAUACUGGGACGAAUUAUCGUGGGUUAUCAAUGUUGUGAAUUUUCAGGAAUUUGACAUGUUUUACCUCGAUCAUAAUGUGCGAAGGAUUGAUUAGUAUGUGGCUUGCAUUCAAAAUUGGAUUUGGGGAGUGAUUGAACAAUGUUAGUUUGUAUCGUCCAAUCUAAAGCUAAUCUUCGACUUUACCCUGUCUUGAUAGUGCAGUUGUUGUUUCUAGGAUAUGAUAUAUAUCAGGCUAUCAUCUUGCUUUAUUGAGUUGUUAAUUUUAUGUUUGUGACAAAUGGUAAUUCUUGCUGAGGUUUUUUUAUGGGUUUUCAGGCAACUAAGUUGUAUUGUUUCGUGCACAAGACUCCUGUUUGUGGAGAACUAGAGAAUGCAUAUGCUUCCCUGAACACCGAAUUUUUGUGGUUAUGAACACUUCAAUGUCAUGGGGAAAAACCAUAAUUGCCAAAAGCCAAAUUAAUUGCACAUAAUCAAUUAGCAUAAUUAAGUAUACAUACUUUGUGAUGCGUGCCUUCCUUAGCUGCUCCGAACCGAACAAGAACAGGUUAGAACGCCAAACAUCGUCCCUACGUAGAUAGCCCACAGCACGUUCGGAUCCACCUUAGGUUCAACCAACUAGGAUUUGAUCUAAGGUAUUAUUAAUUCGGGAUCUCACUUUUAAUGUGAUAGGAAAAGUAUGAAAAACUUGUAUGUAUGAUCAUAGACCACAUAUAUAUAGGAAAUUGGACAUAUACAUGUGGAAGACUUUUCAUCUGCAUCUUAGAACAUAGAAAUUAAUAUUUAAUUUCCAUGUUGUUAUUUCAAAAUACGAUGCAUAUAGUCCGUUCUUGCAAAUGGUUAACUCCAAAGGGAUCUUGCUUGAUCCUUUGCCAGUGUUUAUGCGUGUAACAUCAAUAUUUAGCAUAUCUUUAUUUCCUUGAAUCAAGAACUAUUCCUAUUUACCUUUUCGAGUACCAUAGGGUUUUCUUAAUCUCAACUAGUUGAUCUUAACUUAGAUCAAUAGAGAUUGGUAUAUGUUCGUCAUGCCUAGAGCCAUACGAUACAUUUUUGGCGAUCCUCAUAUUAUAUCAUACAUGAUAAAUUCUUCUGCAGAAUAAUUCUCAAUUGAAUUCUUAUUCAUGUAACUUUAGCUCAUCCAAUUUCAGUAUAUACCGAAUCCAACUAAAUUCUUUGACAUAUAAUAUAGGUGAAGAAUCUCAUUUAGAUCCUUUGAUGUUUAACUUAGUAAAUGCUUAUACAUAGUUCAAACCAUCAUUACUAAGAUUUAUUCACAUGGGUAUAAUAUCUUCAAUGGAGUCUUUCAUGUUUGAUUUAGUAAAUGCCGGCCAUUACUUAAUCCAAAACAAUAUUCUAAGAUCUUUGUAAAUACAUAUUAAUACCCAGUAUGUACUAAGUUUCGCCUUGGUCCAUCAAAAUAAUUUCAAAACUAAGUCAUUAGCAUUUGAAUGUUAUUUUACAAUAGAGAGAUAUGUGUGAUACACAUAUUACCAAUUUAGGUUUACAUACUGCCACUAAACUUCUUAUAUAUCCGUAAGAAUCAUAUGUAUUUUAUGAAACUAAAAUAUUUAUUAGCUUCACUAAAAUACAAUUUUAAUUCCCAAUUGCUUGCUUAAAUCCAUACUUAGAUUUUAUAAGCUAGAAUUCAUUUCAAGCAUUAUUUGGAUCCACAAAUCCUAUGACAUGUCAUGUACAUAGUUUCUUUCAACAUUUGAUUGAGGAAUACGUUUUGUCAUCCAAUUGCCAUAUGUACCAAUAUGAAUUCAUUGCUUGAUUUAUAGACUUAAGCAUUUUGAUUAUGCAUGAGGUUCCAACACAAUCCACGAUGUGAAUUUGAUUUUAACCCUUAGUAAAUAAUCUAGCUUUGUGUGACAACACAAUUCCAUGUUUUGAUGAGUUUUAUCCUUAAAACCAAUUUGUAACCAAUAGGUGUAAACCAAUCUUGCAAAUCAACAAAAUUUUAAUUUUGUCAUAAAAAAAAAUGAGUCUAUAUAUGGCCUCUAACCAUUUAGGGAAUCCGAGCUUUGUCAUAUCUUUCUUACAAGUCAUAAACUCAUUAAUCUUCAUGAUAAUAGUUGACUGCAAGUUGUAGGUUUAGAAUAGAAGAAUCUCAUAGCUUCAGUUACUUGAACUCUAUGCCUACAUGGGUAUACAACAUCAAACAAUAGAAUAUUAAUAGACACUUUGAAAGUCAUUUGAAUAUUUUAUUCUCCUUGAAGCACUUGUAAAGUUUUCUAAGAGAUAUAUUCUUUAAAUCCAUUUCUAAAAUCCUUUAGAGAAUAAGUAAGCACAAAGAUUCUUCGAGUAAGAACAUUUGCGAAUCUUGUUUAAUAAUCUUGAGUUAAUUAAUCACCUAUUGCAUAUGAUUAACAAUUUCAAGAUUUAAAUUCAUUAAUUAUGCUACCUAAUUUGUAAUUAUAAUUAAUUUGUUGAAAUUCAACUAAUUCGGAAUUUGUUUUGUUUUUCAUAAUUAAUUAGUAAUUUAAUUGGGAUCUUAUGACUAAAAGACCACCUAAAAUUUAUUGAAGUUCGAAUCUUCAAAAUUUAAUGAAACCUAAUUUUAAUCCCUAAAGUUUAUGAAAUCGAAAAUUAUUUUAAUUAAUGAAUUUUUGAUUAAUCGCCUAAAAUUUUAUGAAAUUAAUACUCCCUCCGUCCCAGAUUAGUUGUUACACUUUCCUUUUUCGUCCGUCACAGAUUAGUUGUUACACUUCUAAAUUAGGAAUGACCUCACAAUUUUAUAUUGUCUCUCUCUUCCCACUAAAUUUUUUUUGCCCCCACGCCCUCUUUCAUUCAAUUUAAAAAAUACCCCACCAACUCCUAUCACAUCUAGUUUUUCAAUAAAAUAACAAUUGAUAACCAAACAACCACUUAUCACCUAAAACUUUGUGCAAAGGUAAGUGUAACAACUAAUUUGGGACGGAGGGAGUAUGAUUUAUUAAUUUGUCAUAAAUUUUGAAAAUGAAUGAAAUUUUGAUUUUAUAAAUGUUCACAAACUUGCACGCACAAAGCAACCGAAAGCCGAGUGUUAUCCUUAAAGGGUGUUGCAAUGGUGCGGGCAUGCGACGACGAGCAAGGGAACUCGUCGCUCAUGCGGUUCCAUAGCGAUGAGCAAGCACGGGCACGCGCACAUGUGCUACGGCCUGUGCAUGUGUGUGCUGUGUGCGAGUGAACGAGCAAGGGCGAGGAAAGAGGCCAGGCAAGAACGCUAGGCGCCACACUCGUGUCCGCGCUGCCUUGCGUGCCUGUUGCCUGUGCGCGCAGCAACAAGGUGGGCGCUGGCCUCGGCUAGGCGCACUGCCUGUGCAUACAAGCACAUGGGUGCUGCACAAGUGCACGCGGCCCUUAGCUGCAUGCAUGAGGCCUAGGCGGGGAAUGAGCUUCGUGCUCAUUGCCUUGCCUUGGCCCAAUGAUCGUUACAAUUUUAUUUUUCGUUGAGCGACGAAUUUAAUUAAUUUUAAUUUCGUGCUUAUAAUUUUUCUCGGAAUUUAAUUUUAUUAGUUUAACUACUAUAAUUAAUUUUAUAAUAAUAAUUUAAUAAAAUUAAAACCUUGAAUAAAUUAUGAUUAAUUCAUUUUAAUCAACUAAAAAAAGUCGUCUAAGGGAUUUGAAAUAAUUGUAUGAGCUUUAAGUUUUAAAUAAAUAUGUUGUUUCCGAUUGGACUUGGAAAGACAUUUUAUGUUUAAAAUUAGUAAAACAUAUAAAUCUUGGUUUAAGUGAAAGCUUUUAUUUAUUCAUGUUGGUUAAACUCUUGAUUAGGUCCUUAUUACCUUAGGAUUAAUAAACUCGAUUAGAACUAAUAAGGUCAAAUAAUUGGUAGAUUCUUGAGCCUUAAUUAGUUAUUGCAAUUAUUAUGUGAUGCAUAUUUUCUGCUAACUUGCUAAGUGGGCCAUUCAAUGAUAAAUGAAUGAGUGAAUGGUAUAUUGUAAAUAUAUUGUUUUGCAGGUUGCGGAAAGUGAUUAGUAUGGCCCAAAUAGGAUAGAAAAUAUGGUCUGCGUACCAUUAAAUUUGAAUGUAAAAUAUGGUCAAAUGUACAAUGGUUUUUAUUUAAAUAUGGUUUCCGUACCAUUAAUUUAUAGUAAAUCCUAUUUGGUGAAAAUGACGCCUCCCAUGGUGAAAUUCAAGAACGGAGUUUCCAAUCCAUUUUCAAGACGGAAUUUGAAGAUUGAAGCUUCAAGAUGAAGUCAGGCCAUACUAGAUCACAAAUUUUAUCUUAUGCAUGCUUUAAGAAAUUUAUUGCUUUAAAUAUAUCUUGAUUUUAUGCA